rnacentral:rRNA from 1 species
AGGGCAGACGGUGGAUGCCUUGGCUCUCGGAGGCGACGAAGGACGUGAUAAGCUGCGAAAAGCCCGGGGGAGGCGCAAAUAGCCGUUGAUCCCGGGAUAUCCGAAUGGGGCAACCCGGCAGGCUGAAGGCCUGCCAUCCCGUAAGGGAGGCGAACGUGGGGAACUGAAACAUCUAAGUACCCAUAGGAGGAGAAAAUAAACAAUGAUUCCGUAAGUAGUGGCGAGCGAACACGGAAGAGCCCAAACCCAUGUCGUCUAGGCGACACGGGGGUUGUAGGACCACGACGUGGCAAGAUAGAGUCAAGUGGAACGCCUUGGAAAAGGCGACCGUAGAGGGUGAUAGUCCCGUACACGACUGACGAUUGAAGCCUAGUGGUAUCCUGAGUAGCGCGGGGCACGAGAAAUCUUGCGUGAAUUAGCGGGGCCCAUCCCGUAAGGCUAAAUACUCCCGAGAGACCGAUAGCGAACCAGUACCGUGAGGGAAAGGUGAAAAGCACUUCGAACAGAAGAGUGAAAUAGUUCCUGAAACCGUGCGCCUACAAGCGGUCGGAGCUGCUUAAAGCAGUGACGGCGUGCCUUUUGCAUAAUGAACCUACGAGUUGCCUUUGCCGGCAAGGUUAAGUGUGACGACACACGUAUCCGAAGCGAAAGCGAGUCUGAAGAGGGCGUAUAGUCGGCAGUGGCAGACGCGAAACCAAGUGAUCUACCCUUGGCCAGGUUGAAGGCUGGGUAACACCAGCUGGAGGACCGCACCAAUAAGCGUUGAAAAGCUUCUGGAUGAGCUGAGGGUAGGGGUGAAAGGCUAAUCAAACUUGGAGAUAGCUCGUACUCCCCGAAAUGCAUUUAGGUGCAGCCUUGUGGGUUACUGAUGUGAGGUAGAGCGACUGAUAAGAUGCGAGGGCUUCACCGCCUAUCAAGUCUUGACAAACUCCGAAUGCGCAUCAGUUUUACCUCAGGAGUGAGGGCAUGGGUGCUAAGGUCCGUGCCCGAGAGGAGAAGAAUCCGGACCACCUGCUAAGGUCCCGAAAUGACAGCUAAGUUAAACUAACGAAGUCUGACUGCUAAGACAGCUAGGAUGUUGGCUUGGAAGCAGCCAUUCAUUUAAAGAGUGCGUAACAGCUCACUAGUCGAGGAGUUUGGCGUGGAUAAUAAUCGGGCAUCAAGCAAUUUACCGAAGCUAUGGGAUCAGUAAUGAUCGGUAGGGGAGCAUUCCACUCUGCGUCGAAGGUGAAGCGUGAGCUUUGCUGGAGCGUGUGGAAAAGCAAAUGUAGGUAUAAGUAACGAUAAAGGGGGUGAGAAACCCCCUCGCCGAAAGACUAAGGUUUCCUGAUCAACGCUAAUCGGAUCAGGGUUAGUCGGGUCCUAAGGCUCAGCCGAACGGUGAGGCCGAUGGCAGAACAGGUUAAUAUUCCUGUACUACCUUAAGGAGUGACGUGGAGACGGAGGCGUGACAGCGCCGCGGACUGACGGAAUAGUCCGUUGAAGGGUGUAGAUGUUGAUUAUCCCAGGCAAAUCCAGGAUAAGAGUCGAACCUGAUAGUAUACCAAAUUCUUCGGAAUAAGGUAAUAGUGCGUGUAAGCAUACUCCCAAGAAAAUCCGCUAAACUUAAUCUUUAAGGUACCCGUACCGCAAACGGACACACGUAGUCGGGUUGAAUAUACUAAGGCGCUUGAGUGAUUCACGGUUAAGGAACUAGGCAAAUUGACCCUGUAACUUCGGGAUAAAGGGUCCUCGUCGUAAGGCGAGGCGCAGAGAAUAGGUCCAGGCAACUGUUUAACAAAAACACAUGGCUGUGCUAAAUGGAAACAUGACGUAUACAGCCUGACACCUGCCCGGUGCCGGAAGGUUAAGAGGAGAUGUCAUCCGCGAGGAGAAGCGUUGAAUUGAAGCCCCGGUAAACGGCGGCCGUAACUAUAACGGUCCUAAGGUAGCGAAAUUCCUUGUCGGGUAAGUUCCGACCUGCACGAAUGGUGUAAUGAUCUGGACACUGUCUCAACCGUGAGCUCAGUGAAAUUGUAGUAUCGGUGAAGAUGCCGAUUACCCGCGAUGGGACGAAAAGACCCCGUGAACCUUUA